AUUGAACGCUGGCGGCAGGCCUAACACAUGCAAGUCGAGCGGAGCGGCGGACGGGUGAGUAAUGCCUAGGAAUCUGCCUGGUAGUGGGGGAUAACGUCCGGAAACGGGCGCUAAUACCGCAUCCUAUCAGAUGAGCCUCGGUCGGAUUAGCUUGUUGGUGGGGAAAAGGCCUACCAGGGCGACGAUCCGUAACUGGUCUGAGAGGAUGAUCAGUAACACUGAAACUGAGAAAGGGUCCAGACUCCUAGGGGGGGCAGCAGUGGGGAUUAUUGGACAAUGGGCGAAGGCCUGAUCCAGCCAUGCCGCGUGUGUGAAGAAGGUCUUGGGAUUGUAAAGCACUUUAGGUUGGGAGGCGUUACCAACAGAAUAAGCACCGGCUAACAUCGUGCCAGCGGCCGCGGUAAUA
rnacentral:rRNA from 1 species